rnacentral:ncRNA from 1 species
AAUAACCAAAUAUAACACUGGGACUAUGGGUCAAAUUGGUAAAAAAAUUACAUAUCCCCCCGAGGGGGCCAAGUAUCAUAUACACCGCCAAAAUAAAGUGCCUUGAGUACGAGAAGAAAAGCACCUAGACCUAACAA